UACGUAGGGGGCAAGCGUUGUCCGGAAUCAUUGGGCGUAAAGAGCGUGUAGGCGGCUCGAUAAGUCCGCUGUGAAAGUCCAGGGCUCAACCCUGGAAGGCCGGUGGAAACUGUCGGGCUAGAGUCCGGAAGAGGCGAGUGGAAUUCCCGGUGUAGCGGUGAAAUGCGCAGAUAUCAGGAGGAACACCGGUGGCGAAGGCGCUCAUCUGGCCCAAUACUGACGCUGCAGCGCGAAAGCUAGGGGAGCAAACGGG
rnacentral:rRNA from 1 species